AUUGAACGCUGGCGGCAGGCUUAACACAUGCAAGUCGAGCGAGCGGCGGACGGGUGAGUAAUGUAUGGGAAACUGCCCGAUGGAGGGGGAUAACUACUGGAAACGGUAGCUAAUACCGCAUACCAUCAGAUGAACCCAGAUGGGAUUAGCUAGUAGGUGGGGUAAUGGCUCACCUAGGCGACGAUCCCUAGCUGGUCUGAGAGGAUGAUCAUCCACACUGGAACUGAGACACGGCCCAGACUCCUACGGGAGGCAGCAGUGGGGAAUAUUGCACAAUGGGCGCAAGCCUGAUGCAGCCAUGCCGCGUGUGUGAAGAAGGCCUUAGGGUUGUAAAGUACUUUCAGCGAGGAGGCGUUACUCGCAGAAGAAGCACCGGCUAACUCCGUGCCAGCAGCCGCGGUAAUAC
rnacentral:rRNA from 1 species